rnacentral:lncRNA from 1 species
AAACACUUGUACCAUCAACCAUAAAUUAUGGUUGGAAUUUUAUCUCUUGCCUAAGAAAGUUUGGGAGCAUUCUUGUUACAUUGUUGAUUGUAUUCAAGUUGGGGAGAAAAAGGUAGGUUGAUAAGAGGUUGCAAAAGAAAGAGGUUGAAAAAGAAAGAAAAAUGUGAAAAAGAAAAAAAAAAGACUUGGAAAGAAAAAAAGAAAAGCCUUG